rnacentral:misc_RNA from 1 species
AUUAAAGUACAUUUAGCUCCUCGACUCUUACCAGAUUUCAUAUAAAAUCGGCUGUUUUUGAUAAUCGUCACUACAUCUUGGGCUUUCCAGCAGCUAUCUACAAAAAUUUCCUUUAUCGCCUUCAACAUGAAUAUGAAAAUCGUCAUCUUCCUUGUUUUUAUGUUCAUUGGUACAAUAAUGGGCGCAAACGACAACGCCACUUGCUAUGCCUGCGGACCCGAGUGCGCCCAUGCGUGCGGCACCAAAAGGUUCAGAUUCUGUUGCUAUAACUAUUACAGGAGAAAUUCACGUGGAAUUAAGCUGCAGGAUCUAGAUCAAAAUUAGUCACACAGAAGAACAACGACGACCACAGACGAACCAGGACUCCCGUAUGCUUUCUCGUAAUAUUGAAAUCAUAUAAAAAUGUGUUAAAAAAAGUAUUGUUUUUAUUUAAAUAUAUCACAGCAGCCUUUCGCAGUCGACAGCUCGACUUUAUGGACUCGAAUUUUGACCACUUUGUCCGUUCGUUUGAACGCGCUAAUCUCAGGAACUGCCAGCUCGAUUUAAAAAAAAUCUUUCAGUGUUAGAUAGCCCAUUUAUCGAGGAAGGCUAUAGGCUAUAUAUCAUCACGCUAACACCAAUAGGAGGGGAGCAACAAUGAAGAAUAUUUCGAAAUCGUUUUUUUUUCUUUUUGAGAGUUUUUCCAGUUAGCCCAAAGAAACUGUUCCACGCGGACGAAGUCGUGCGCAGAAUCUAGUUGAAUGAUAUUAAUAGAAAUGACGCAAAAUUUUACGCAUUGUUACUUGUUCCACUAAUUUGUAUUACAAUAUUUUAUGUUACAUUUGCUUUACUAAUGAAAAACUCCUUUAAGACGUAAAUAUCCUCUUUAUUUGUGGUUUAUAUUAAUAACGUAAUGCAGUAUUCAACGCAAAAUAUGACUAAAUCUAUAUACUAAAAGAGAGCCGGUUUUUUGUUCGGUUAUUAUGUGAAAACCGCUGAACCUAUCGGAAUAAUACUUAUACCAUAAGAUGGGGCGUGUUUCGGAGAAGGUUUUAGUAUAUGAUGUGUUGGUGAUUACUUGUCGUGUAAAGAAAUAUGGACAGACAGAGGUCGCUAGUUUGUAAUAAUUGACGUUAUUUUUAAAGAGUAACUCCGGAGUUUAUUCGUCCUAUUUGCAAUCAGUAAAUUCAUCUAUACAAAUAAAUAAAAUCGCAGUGUCCGUUUGUAAUAUUAAAAUAACCGCUUAUUAAUAAAUGCAUAUGGAUGUAUACACGGUUAUCAUGGUUUAUCAUUAUCAUUUCAACCUAUCGCAGUCCACUGCUGGACAUAGGCCUCCACAAGUUUACGCCAAAAAUGGCGUGAAAUCAUGUGUAUUGCUCAUAGU